CCUCCUGUCUGUUGUUUUCUCUUCAUCCAGAGAUAAACUUUGAAAAAGAGCUCUUGAAAAUGAAAAGCACAAUAGGAGCGUAAGAACAACAACAACAAAGAUUUGCAGGAUCAUGCCGAGUACGUAUGCUAGAGAUCAGAGCAAAAAUUUUAAGGGACUAAAAGGGGAAGAAAGCUACUCGCAAAAGGCGGGUCUGGUAAGUCCAGGUUUGAGGAACAGGAUUUCCAGGAACAAAGAGCUGUUACCACAGUCACAAGCUCACCACGGAGAAGGAAUUGGGAGCAGCAUCCCACGGUUUAGUGGGAAGAGGCAGGGAGGGAAGGGCCACACACCUUUGUGGCAGGAGACCCCACAGAGCAUGCCAAGUCCUCCAUGCCUUUGGCCUCGGCUGCUGGGCACCAAAACCAGAUUUCGGAGUAAUCUUGUGUGAGGCUUAUGUUCUACGUCUGAGGUGAUUUCCGACAGGAGAACUAAACAGUCAGGCUGUGUGUCAGACCAGUGCAGCUGGGCAGCAGAAGCUAUCUUCUAUCUCACUGGAAAUCCCUAAAAUAGAGAAGAAGGCAGAACACUCCAGUCUCACAAGCUGUAGGGGCAAACCUGGCUGGGUAACAGUGUGACUUUGACGAAGUUUCUUGACUUGUCUGUGGCUCAAUUUCUCCUUUUAACAUGUGUCGGAUAGGAGUUCUUCCUGCAUGGUUUGUCCUAGGUUUACAUGAGACGUGCAGGUGAAGCAUGGAGCCCAGAGCCUGGCACAUAGUGAGUACUCAGCACAUAGUAGCUCUUACCUUCCAUCCCUAUCAGCAUUUCUUUGAUCUGCCUUGUUCUUUUGAACAGCUGCGGGCCCUUUCAGGGUGCGGAUGGAGCAUGACGAGUCAAGGUUCUCCAACUGAGGAACAUGAAAUUGGUUCCAGUGUUUAUUUUUACAAACAGUGCUGCAGUGGACGUGUGUAUAUCUGUAUUUAUACAUCUCCAUCACCGCCUGUAGGUCUGCUUGCUAAUGUGAAAGAGACGUUCGUCCAGUACCUGAAAUCCCCUUCAUAGUGUGUUCCCAUUACAAGGGCUUGGGAAUAGUCACCUGAAGUGAGCACACCAUUUCUACUGUGGUCUUUGAUUUUUUUGCUUUGUAGGGAUUAGCAUACAUGUUUCUGAAAAUUGAAAAGUCAGGAGAGUAGAGUUCUGUGGAUCAGAAUUCUAGAAUGAUGUGGCUGCGCUCUCUGCUGACAGAAUUGGUCGGGGAUAGACGUGCUCAAAGCAGGCAAUGAAAUCAUCCACUGAAGCAUGUGUGGUCCACGGUGGAGCUGGUGUUUGAAUCUUCCACUGCCUUUCCUCAGGCUGUGUCUUUAUUGCUUCCGCUCACACCUGGAAUAGGAUUUGAGUGGAAAUGUGAUUGGAGUAGAAGGCAUCAGGGAGGGAGCCUGAGCUGAGACCACAUCUUGAAAACACAGAAUUGAGGGAGCAGGUGGAAGAAAGAAAGUCAGCAGGCUUGGAGGAUGAUGAUAACCCAAAGAAGAUUAAGGUGCUGGUGGAGAAGGUGGUUGGCAAAGGAGGUGAGAAUAAGGACAAGUUGAGUUCAGAGAAAUCAAGGGACACUGAAGAAUGAGUACAGCAUCCUCCACUCCUCAAGGAGCAACCUAAGCUGAGCAGUGAGGACUGGGAGAGUAACUUACUCCACAGGGAACCUGUGCAACAGCCAGGGAGACCCAAGGAUGGAUCAGGAAAUCAAAGCAGUGAGAGGAAGAACACGAACAGAUGGUUUCAACAAAAUGCUAGGUCUCCUCAACUGGGGAGUUGCGGCAGCCCAGAUGAUGGGAGGGUAGGCCAAGGCCAUCUCUUCCUAAUGACAGAGUGAACCAUUGUCAGGAAUCCCUCAGGACAAUCCGUUCUUCAUCAGAGCUCACCACAGCUGGAUGACCUGUCCUGACCCACGACCCUGAACCUCAGCCAGAUUGCAGCUUCUCAGAACCAAUGCUUGGACUCCAUGUUGGCUCCAAGCCCUCAACACUGCCAAAGUCUCCAGAGGAAACUGCUGAUGUCACAGCUAGUGACUGUGUCCUGGCCAGCUGGAGAAAUAAAGA